GUGUCAGCCGCCGCGGUAAUACAGAGGUCCCGAGCGUUGUUCGGAUUUACUGGGCGUAAAGGGUGCGUAGGCGGCGGGGAAAGUUCGGGGUGAAAUCUCCAGGCUCAACUUGGAAAAUGCCCUGAAGACUUCCCUGCUGGAGGGUCGCAGAGGAGACUGGAAUUCUCGGUGUAGCAGUGAAAUGCGUAGAUAUCGAGAGGAACACCAGUGGCGAAAGCGGGUUUCUGGGCGACACCUGACGCUGAGGCACGAAAGCCAGGGGAGCAAACGGGAUUAGAUACCCUAGUAGUCC
rnacentral:rRNA from 1 species